UUAAAAGAAACUCAAACAGCG
ensembl:piRNA 21ur-4694 ncRNA